rnacentral:rRNA from 1 species
GAUGAACGCUGGCGGCGUGCUUAACACAUGCCAGUCGAACGGAAAGGCCCAAGCUUGCUUGGGUACUCGAGUGGCGAACGGGUGAGUAACACGUGGGUGAUCUGCCCUGCACUUCGGGAUAAGCCUGGGAAGCUGGGUCUAAUACCGGAUAGGACGAUGGUUUGGAUGCCAUUGUGGAAAGUUUUUUCGGUGUGGGAUGAGCUCGCGGCCUAUCAGCUUGUUGGUGGGGUAAUGGCCUACCAAGGCGUCGACGGGUAGCCGGCCUGAGAGGGUGUACGGCCACAUUGGGACUGAGAUACGGCCCAGACUCCUACGGGAGGCAGCAGUGGGGAAUAUUGCACAAUGGGCGCAAGCCUGAUGCAGCGACGCCGCGUGGGGGAUGACGGCCUCCGGGUUGUAAACUCCUUUCGCUAGGGACGAAGCGUUUUUGUGACGGUACCUGGAGAAGAAGCACCGGCUAACUACGUG